GGACAGGAGACAGGUGGUGCAUGGUUGUCGUCUAGCUCGUGUCGUGAGAUGUUGGUUAAGUCCCGCAACGAGCGCAACCCCUGUGGUUAGUUGCCAGCAAGUAGCGUUGGGCACUCUAGCCAGACUGCCGGUGAUAAAUCGGAGGAAGGUGGGGACGACGUCAAAUCAUCAUGCCCUUUAUGUCCUGGGCUACACACGUACUACAAUGGCCGUUACAACGGGAAGCGAAGGAGCAAUCCGGAGCAAAUCCCUUAAAGGCGGUCCCAGUUCAGAUUGUGGGCUGAAACUCGCCCACAUGAAGGCGGAAUUGCUAGUAAUUGCAGAUCAGCAUGCUGCAGUGAAUACGUUCCCGGGCCUU
rnacentral:rRNA from 1 species